AUACGUAGGGUGCGAGCGUUGUCCGGAAUUACUGGGCGUAAAGAGCUCGUAGGUGGUUUGUCGCGUCGUCUGUGAAAUUCCGGGGCUUAACUCCGGGCGUGCAGGCGAUACGGGCAUAACUUGAGUACUGUAGGGGAGACUGGAAUUCCUGGUGUAGCGGUGAAAUGCGCAGAUAUCAGGAGGAACACCGGUGGCAAAGGCGGGUCUCUGGGCAGUAACUGACGCUGAGGAGCGAAAGCAUGGGUAGCGAACAGGAUUAGAUACCCUGGUAGUCCAUGCCGUAAACGGUGGGCGCUAGGUGUAGGGGUCUUCCACGACUUCUGUGCCGUAGCUAACGCAUUAAGCGCCCCGCCUGGGGAGUACGGCCGCAAGGCUAAAACUCAAAGGAAUUGACGGGG
rnacentral:rRNA from 1 species